AUUGAACGCUGGCGGCAUGCCUUACACAUGCAAGUCGAACGGUAACAGGUCUUCGGAUGCUGACGAGUGGCGAACGGGUGAGUAAUACAUCGGAACGUGCCUAGUAGUGGGGGAUAACUACUCGAAAGAGUGGCUAAUACCGCAUGAGAUCUACGGAUGAAAGCAGGGGAUCGCAAGACCUUGUGCUACUAGAGCGGCCGAUGGCAGAUUAGGUAGUUGGUGGGGUAAAGGCUCACCAAGCCGACGAUCUGUAGCUGGUCUGAGAGGACGACCAGCCACACUGGGACUGAGACACGGCCCAGACUCCUACGGGAGGCAGCAGUGGGGAAUUUUGGACAAUGGGCGCAAGCCUGAUCCAGCCAUUCCGCGUGCAGGAUGAAGGCCCUCGGGUUGUAAACUGCUUUUGUACGGAACGAAACGCGCUGUGCUAAUACCACGGCGUAAUGACGGUACCGAAAGAAAAAGCACCGGCUAACUACGUGCCAGCCGCCGCGGUAA
rnacentral:rRNA from 1 species